rnacentral:misc_RNA from 1 species
AACGCACAUUGCGCCCGCCAGUAUUCUGGCGGGCAUGCCUGUUCGAGCGUCAUUACGCCCCUCAAGUCCCCUGCGGACUUGGUGUUGGGGAUCGGCGAGCGCUGUCUUUUCAGCACGCCGUCCCCCAAAUUUAUUGGCGGUCUCGCCGUGGCCCUCCUCUGCGCAGUAGUAAAACACUCGCAACAGGAGCCCGGUGAGGUCCACUGCCGUAAAACCCCCAACUUUUUACAGUUGACCUCGAAUCAGGUAGGACUACCCGCUGAACUUAA